ensembl:lncRNA AHI1-DT AHI1 divergent transcript
GCUCUAGGCGAAGACCGCGGCCCCGUCCCCGCGCCUCCACCGCCUUCUUCCAGGAGGAGGGGCCGUGCGGCGCCUGCCCGGGGGCCCUCAGGCCGCAGGCGGGCGCGAGCUUCAGGGAACUUAGGGGGCUCCCGCCUCCCCGGCCACGCGAGCGGGAACAGUCUCCUCCACUCGGAGCGGUAAGGGACCCGGAAAUGCGCGGGUGCCCCUACAGAGUCUUGAGUUUUCCCCGCCCUCACCUCCGAAAAUGCUCUUUUCGCCUUAGAAUUGUAGCUAGCGCAGGGAAAAACUGACUGGGCAAAGGAAAACUGGGGAGGCUGUCAUGGAAGCCGCCCAGAAUAAGAAAAUGAAUGAAUGAGGCAAAGAAACAGAUUUGUCACUCCCCACGCGAUCGCGCCCACAAAAGAAAACAUGGUUUUAAGGCGUGGAAAAUGAAGUUGUACUACAGACAAAA